CUGGCGGCGUGCCUAACACAUGCAAGUCGACGCGAAAAGCAGUAAUGCUGAGUAGAGUGGCGCACGGGUGAGUAACACGUAACUGACAUGUCUUGGAGAGCAGGAUAACCACUCGAAAGGGUGGCUAAUACUGCAUAAGCCCACGUCCUUGGGGGAUGAGGGAAAAGGGUCGGGACCUUUCGAGGCCGAUCGCUUCUUGAGUGGGUUGCGGCCCAUCAGCUAGUUGGCGAGGUAACGGCUCACCAAGGCUAAGACGGGUAGCUGGUCUGAGAGGAUGAUCAGCCACACUGGAACUGAGACACGGUCCAGACUCCUACGGGAGGCAGCAGUGGGGAAUCUUGCGCAAUGGGAGCAAUCCUGACGCAGCAACGCCGCGUGGGUGAUGAAGGUCUUCGGAUCGUAAAGCCCUGUCGGAGGGGAAGAUGCUUUCUGUCGCUAACAUCGGCAGGAGGUGACGGUACCCUCAAAGGAAGCACCGGCUAACUCUGUGCCAGCAGCCGCGGUAA
rnacentral:rRNA from 1 species